GAGGGUAUAGUUCAGUGAUGGUGCACGUGCUUAGUGUGCACGAGGUCCUGGGUUCAAUCCCCAGUAACUCCA
rnacentral:tRNA from 1 species